AGACGUUCUACCACGCGCUCGCAAACAAAAAGCAGUAGGACCUCGUGACUCCGAACGAUGUGCGCGACACUCGGCCUGGAGGGUGUGCUGUCCUCUAAAGAAAUGAAAACACACAUCGUCCUCUUCUGUGAAGUACAGGAAAUUACUAGGUUUAUUCCUUCAUAUUCAAACUUCACAAACAGCGUGAACUUGUACAAUACCUCAGAGAGUGAAAAUUACAAAAAAAGUGCUGGUAACAUUUACAAAAAAUCAUCCAAAAAUCAUCCUUACUUUGCAACAAUCAGUUAUUCUUCCACUCCUUUUUUUUAGUCUUUUGUAUUAAGGCUUAAUACUUCUGUAUAAAGUAUAUGCAAGAUAAGUCUUCACAGUUUUUCGAAAAAAGUCACAAUAUUAUGUAACAUAAUGAAGCUUUUACGGCUAUUUUCUGUAUAAUAACAAAUACACAUCACUGGUAAAUAUACGUGAAAUACAGGGCUUACUGUAAAAUGGCAGGUAAUGAUACUGUUUGCUGAAAUAAAUUUUUUUCUUUUUUCCUUAAACACAUUUAUAGGAAAGGUUACAUGACAUACCAUUGUAAUAACUGAAGGAGAAGAGAAAUAAAAGAAUACUAAAAGCAUAAAAACUAGGGAGAUCGCCUCCAAACUUUGGCACAUCCCUUUGAACGUUUUCACAAAAUAUAUAAGGUUUAUUUUUUUAUUUCAAAUCAAAUGCAUGGAAGUAUAGCAAAACUGGCAUAAAGUGAAAUCAUGCUGUGUAGUAAGGUGCUAAAUUAGAGAUAUUACAAGGCCUGUCUGUUGGUUUCAGGCAGGCAAGAAUAAGGUGCAUUUGUAAGACUCAAAGCAUGUAGGCCUUUUUUAGAUUUCAAGAAACAACCAUAAUAUAAUAAUAAUAAUAUUAAUAAUAAUAAUAAUUUACAAAAUAAACAAACUUAGUAAAAACAACCAAAAUAUAAUAUGACCAAUAGUCUCGAGGCGACCUCAUGAAUUAAUGCAACCCCACUGAUUCAGAAAUGCGUGACUGUCUCGUCCACAGACAUGUAAAAAAUACUCUAAUGUGGCAUAUGGGAGCACGGUGAAAUUUUCAUCUGUUAUGCUCAUUUAUUUUUUGUUUUUUGUUUUUUUGUUUUUUAAUUUUCAUUUCUCUCUUUAUUCUGUGUAUAAUAUAUAUGCAUGGUGUUUAUAGAUAGCUGUAUAUGCAAAGUGGGGUAUGUCACUGCAGGAUGGGGUGGAGGAAUGGGGUGGCUGCAAACCGUAUGCGACACAGAACGAAGCAGAGCUAUUUUCCCGGGGUCUUCCUACGCUGCACUAGGUUAAAGAUCAGCAUAUAAGAGCGCUAGCCCUAAGACUUACCAACUAUCACCCUCAUGCACACGUUUAAAGUGACGCAACAAGCUUGCUUAAAUAACCUACAUCACAAAAGCAAUUUGGUUUUAGUGCAAAAACACAAUUGGCUGGCUUCAGCUUCUCAAUAAUAACAAGCUCACCAAGAAGAUAACAUGAAGGCACAUACUUAUGCUUCCUCUAACACGCAACAAUUUUAGACAUACUGCAACACCUUUCAAUAACACCACGAAGCAGUUAUCACAGGAAAGCCACUAUUUCCAAAAAUCAAAAAUCAUCACUAUUUAUGAUUGCAAUUAUUUAUUGUUGAUCUCAUAUAAUUACCCAUAAAGGAAAUCACAUAUCUUCAUAUUUGCACGGUUCAUGACCUUACUACUUCCUUUAUGGAUAAUUAUGACUUUAAGUAUAUACGUGUGGACUGUAAUUCUUUAAGUUUAACUGAUGUCACACACUGAAAGGAAAAGCAUUUUCCUAUUGGUAGGCAUUACAAAAGCCGUGCCACUUAGUGACUUAUGGUCAACAAUUUUAUUAUUUUAAGCCCUGUCCCAGAAACAUGUCACCAUUUGCCAUUGGAAAUCAGUUGACCUGUUUGUAAAAGAACAACAAUGGCAGUAGCAACAACACCAGCCACAGCGACAAGGAAUAAAAACGAAAUAUCAAAGCAAGAAGGGAAAGUCCAUCUUCAUGUACUAAAGCUGCUUAUAUUUUAGCACACAUUGCAAGGACAGCUAGUGAGUCUGCAGGAGAAAUGUAGUGGGUAUUGCAUCGGGUUUAGACUGUUAUAAAGUGGCUUCAUGUUUCUGGGACAACCUGCCAAUCUAAUCUUCUGCUUUCCUCUCACAACAGGCCUGUGAGAGCAGUUUCCAAUUUGUCCAAAACAAUCACGUGAGGAAACAGGAAGUACAAUUUUGAUGUGCCUCGAACUUGGACAUUUCCGCGUAUGCCAUUUCCUUUAACAGCAUCUAUGUGUACAUCCAAGGCUGUUGUCCGAGCCUUGGGGUAAUCGCACAAUAUCCAUUCUGUACCUUUUUAUACACAAAUAAUGAAAAGAACGGUCCUCAAAAAUCUUGUUUUUUAAACAACAUUAUGCUAGUGCACAGACAGCUUUUAUUGUUUGUUACACCAAUGCUUUUAGAAUUUGUCAAAUUCUUCUGUCAUAUUGCUAUUUGUUUAAGAAGACCAAAAUGUUUUUAGUGCAAAUCUCUUUUCUAGUUUGAGAAGUGGUAGUUAGAUUUAUUUUAAAGAGGAUUGCAAAAACGGUCAGCCGUAAUGUUUGGUUGACAGAGUGAGACAACUUUAUACUUAGUGGUUUUUUUUGCUUGUUAAGUGGUUACCUUUUAUAUAAUUCAUAAAAUGUGAAUUUAGGAGGGGAUGUUUGGAUUUUAAAUACCUUUUAGUUUUUUACAAGAUAAUAUUCUCAUUUGUCACAAAAUAGAUGCAGUAAUGCUGUAUACUGUGCUGCUUGUUCGUGUCUCACUAGGAUAACUUUGAUAUAUACGAAGACUCACUUUAGUCCAGUGUUUGACAAGUAAAAGUAUAAAAUGGUCUUGUACACACAUUAAAAAACUUUAUAUCCUACCUCAAAACAGCAGUCAUCACAAAGCAAACAAUCUUUUUUAAACAGUAAUAAAAAAGACAAAACCAACUCAGAUAACUAAAGAACACCAUUAAAAAAACACAUUACUGCAGCAUAUAAUUUAGGGUUGCUUAGUUACUGAAAGAUGUCAAAUAUACCUUUACUACAACAGCUCCACUUUUGCCCAGUUUUCUACAGUUAUUGUAUAUUGUAAUAUAAACCUUUAAUAUGAACUCGAUCAGGGCGAUUAUGAAAAAUGUGAAAAUAAAUUAUGUAUAAGUUCUUUAUAUGUGUUUAAGAAGGUAUUUGUCUACAAGAAUGUGUAAGAUAUGGCUAUAAAUAGCAGAAGAAAAUGAAAAGCUUCUUAAAACAGGAUUUUACAUUAACUACCCUAAUCUUGAAUAUGGACAUCCAAAGGUCUCCAGUUUUACAGUACUAAAAAUGUACAUCAUAAAACAGAGAACUGAUGAUCCUAAGUGACCCACAGUAGGAUAAGAUGUCCUGCAACUGUAUAUAAAUAUAUAUGUUGACAAAUACCUAACCCAAGUAAGCUAAAUUAACUAUCUGAGCUCAUGCCUCAUCAUAAUAUUGCCUUUCUAAUUACCAUGGGGUUACAUUCUACUUUGAUAUGAAGGUUUCCAUCCAAAUAUUUACACUGUAUAAUAAUAGUCAUCAUUAUAUGAUCGUGUAGUACGCCACAAACAAAAUAGGCAAAUUUGGUCCUUUAGGAUGACAUGACGACACAAAUUCAUUAACAAGUAAAUGUUCAUGUUUGCCCCCCCUCCCCCC